GCUCCAAUGGCUUAAUGGUUAAGCUCCUGAUUAUUGUAACGUAACGUAUAUGUGUAUUUAGGAGAUCGCCGGUUCGACUCCGGUUUGGGGCA